rnacentral:rRNA from 1 species
GNCGCGNGAAAAGAACUUUGAAGAGAGAGUUCAAGAGUACGUGAAACCGUUCAGGGGUAAACCUAAGAAACCCAAAAGAUCGAACGGGGAGAUUCAUCGUCAGCGACACCGGCUUCGCGUCGGUGGGCGAUGUCCCGCGGUUUCUCGCGCGGGCACGCUACCGUGCGCGCAUGACCGGCUUCGUCGUCGUGCACUUCUCCCCUAGUAGAACGUCGCGACCCGCUGGGUGUCGGUCUACGGCCCGGGUGAGGUGACUGUCGCGUCGCCGGUAAAACGGCACGCGGCAAACCCUCGGACGCCCGGCCGGCUGCCCGGCGGUACUCGCACGGUAUCAGGCCGCAGUUUGUCUGCGUCAAGCCCGUCGCAAGCGCGCGCCACGGUUACUCGGAGGUACGGACCUAGCGCCGUCCCCGGUCCUGGUCCGCUGUUGGCCGACGGUGACCCUUUGACAGGCCUUACGGGGCGACGUGGGGGGCUUUCGCCGUUCCACGUCCGCCCUAAUACCGGUCGGCGACGCUACUGCUUUGGGUACUCUUAGNACCCGU